rnacentral:rRNA from 1 species
UGAGGAAUAUUGCUCAAUGGGCGCAAGCCUGAAGCAGCGACGCCGCGUGGAUGAAGAAGGUUUUCGGACUGUAAAAUCCUUUUCUGUGUGACGAGAGUGGACGGUAGCACAGGAAUAAGUCUCGGCUAACUACGUGCCAGCAGCCGCGGUAAAACGUAGGAGGCAAGCGUUAUCCGGAGUUACUGGGCGUAAAGCGCGUGUAGGUGGAUCGGUAAGUUACCUAUAAAAGCUCCUGGCUAAACUAGGAGAGGUUGGGUGAUACUGCCAGUCUAGAAUAGAGGAGAGGUUGACGGAAUUCCGCGUGUAGUGGUGAAAUGCGUAGAGAUGCGGAAGAACACCAGUGGCGAAGGCGGUCAACUGGCCUCAUAUUGACACUCAGACGCGAAGGCAUGGGUAGCGAACGGG